UGAUAUUUUCUGUGAUGAAGGAUGUGAAUACUUUGCCCUUGUUAACUAUUAAUGAGGAUGUUUGUUUAAAAAUGAUUAUCAAAACAUUUUACUUGGAUUUCAGUUUUCUUCGACUUUGUCUUUUUUUUGUAGUUUUCACUGCACCCAGGAGAGAUAUCUAACUAAUUGUUUUAUUUUCUUGUUUAAUCUACUUGUUUCUAAUACCAUUCCAUCGUAUGAAGACAGUCUUUGCAUUAGAGCUGGAUGUACAAGAAAAAGGAAAAGGAUUAGGCCUAAAUGCCUGUACUUAUUCAGUGAGGAAGAGAAAGGACGACAGCAUUUAAUUUUUUUUUAGCAUGGGACGAUCCUGCACUGAGAUGGAGAGAAGAUGUGAUCAAGGAGUUUUUAUAAUGUUUCAUGGUUAAUAGGAGGUGGCGAUCAGAUAUGACUCUAACUGGACUGUUAUUUACGCUCUGUCUCUGCUGUGAACUGUAUUUUAUUGCAUAUUGUCUGACAUAAGCAUGAUCAACACCUCCACCUCCCCCUGUUAAAGUUUAUAAUGCAGCACAGUUGUUAGAAGUCACUUGGAUCUCCGUGUUAAUACCAUCAAUCUUUUUUCUUUACGCUAAUGAGACUCCAGGCUGUGCUGCAGUCAUUUUAAUGACUGUAACUUCCCCCUAAAUUAAGGAUGAAUCCUCUUUCCACAGAAAUCUUUCUGGUGCUGAAUUUACAGUUUGCCUCGUCUGAAUUAGCUGUUUUCCUUUUUCAUUUGGCUGCGAGCUGAGAUGUUUUCAAAUGAGUGGUUGGGAUAUUGAGUUUGGUUGAAGUGAUGUCAUGUGUGGUUGUGCAGAAGUCUGUCAUGUGCUUCGGUUGGCUUGUUUAUACUCCAGUAUUUUAUUUUGCUGUCAUCGUGACAGCUCUAUGCCAAUAAGACACAAAGGUGACAACCUUUUUACAGAACUUGACCUAUCAUUGGAUUCAAAUCUGGCAGACUGGUGGAAGGUCAGUGCAGAGAGGUUUACCAGACAGGUAAUGUUGGCAUGCAUGUAGCUAUAUACCCCUGGUGCUGUCAGAAUGUGUGUUUUCUGCCACCUGAUUGAUCAUGACCCUGUUGUGCCCCUGACUGAGACACAACCAUGUGGACAUGAUGACUUAUCUCAGAGGGGAAAAAGUAGGCACAGUACACUGAGUCUGAAAUGUUUUUCUCUUCUCGUCUCUUCUUGGAUCAAUUUCAUAUGUAGUUUGAGCCUCUCUUCCUGGGACUGUAUGUCUGGAGAUUAUUUGUAUUCCUGUUCCACAUGUUAACAUAUUCAGCAUAAUAAACAGUAAGAGCAUAGAGGUGCCUCUUUAUAGCCUGCGGUCAUGCACAAGUGCCAGUUAUACACAUUAUGUUGACGUGGAAAAUGACAGAUUAAGGGAAGAAGUGGAGCCUGCUGUUUGUCUUUGCAAAGAAUUAACUUUCCUUUUAACGAGUAUUCAUUAACUGAUUGUUGAAACCUUAAAAAUAAGUCAUGGAGAAUUCUUUGAAUUUGCAUCCUUAGUACCGUUUAGCACUUGAAUUAUUGAGUUGACCCCUUUUUUUUUUUUUUUUAGUUAUUUUAAGUAUUUUUCCCUUAUGCUUUGUGUGAAAAUACACAUAAUAAUGUCGUGAAGAGCAACACAGUAUUAAUUAUAGCCAUUAAAUUGGAUAGGCUUCAUGCUGUAUCGUUUUAAGGAAUGUUAAAGGGGUAUUACGGCGUAAAAUUAAUUUAGGGUCAAACACACCGUAACACCGAGUUAGACACCCCCUUGAGGGAUAAAUGUUGCCAACUGCUUGCUUCUCUAGUUAUACCAACUUUAGUAAAGACCGCAGGAUUAUUACUUUCCUUGAAUCAAUGAUCACCAUAUUAAUCAUUUUGCACUGCAGACGCGGUAGUUCUUCUGACUUUGCGUCUCGGUCUGAUUGCAUUUCCAUGAAGAAAUGAUCAUAAAUGUUUUUCCUUGAGCUGCGUCACCCCACAGCAGUCCGUAAUGGACUGGCCUGAGGUCUUGCUACAAACAAGCAGCUGCUGGAAGAGAGUAGGUGAUAAGGCUGCACGAUAUUGGAAAAAAAUAAUAUUGCGAUUUUUUUCAACCCUGCGAUAUAUAUUGCGAUAUUAAAAAUACAGGAAUUUUCACCAGAUGACAUGAAUAGCAUUUAAUGUUAUGCUGCACUGCUGAAAUCUUGAGGACAGUUACCCUGCACUGAUCUUACCUCUUUUUGUGAAUGUUAGAAUGGCUUCUGUCUCAGAGAUAUUUUUAGCUCUUAUUGUGCUGGGACGUUAUUGUGGCAACAGAUUAACACAGAACACGUGUUUUGGUCCUUCUUUUAACCGAAAUAAUUCCAGAUAACUGACUUUCCUUUUCUUUUUGGCAACAAAUCUUCAUUUUCGGUGGUUUUCGCUUGUUCGUUGCUCAUUUUGCGAUCGUUGUUGUUAGCGGUGUUGUGCUGAGAAACGCAUGUCCUCCGAGAAUUGCAUGUACCUCGCAAAACGCGCACCGCUUAAAGUAGAGUGGUCCACGGAAAUGUAUAAUUUAAAACCCAUACAGUUCUUAUUUGUUGGGCUUAACAGUCAUGAGUAAAGUUCCGAAGGUAAUUCUCAGCGGACACACGUCGCCCUCCAUGUGCAGAACAUGUGCAGGGGUGGGUUUCCUCCGCUCUGAUUUUGAUUGACAGCUGGCAGGGUAGUCUGAUUGGCCACUGAGAAGUGAGUCUGAUUGGCAACUGAGUUAAGGACGAAUGUGAUUGGUGGAUCGCUGCAAAGCACAUGCAGAGUCACAUGCAGUGUAUCUCAGUCAGUUACCCUUGAAAUUAAAUGAGUUCAUUCACCUCCAAUAUCUCAGGCUCUGCGAUGUGACUAUCGCACGUACAUCGCGAUGACGAUAGUCAAACGAUAUAUCGUGCAGGCCUAGUAGGUGAGUUGUGUUUAGUCUCUUUGCAAAAGAAAUCAGGCAAAGUUGAAAAAAGAUGUUUGAUGGUUAGUGCUGUGGCUAGGACCCUAAAUGUAUUGUUGAUGAAGUUAGGUGCUGUUCUGAGCAUUAAUUGUGGCUAUAGAGUGGCGUUUUAGUUGAGGUUUGUUUAUGGCUCCUCAGACCGCUGUGUAUUGCUAUCCUCGGGUCGUUACUAAAGUUGGUAUAACUAGAGAAGCAAACGGUUGGCAACAUUCAUCUCUCUGGGGGGUGUCUAACUCUGUGUUAUAGUGUGUUUGACCCUAAAUUAAUUUUACGCCAGAAUAUCCCUUUAAGCUGUAUCAAAUUGGUGCUAAAUUUGGACUGAUUUCUGAGCAUUUCCUGCUGAAAGACUGGUGAAAUGAUCUGGAUUUUAUUUCCACUGUUGUCAGGAUGAUUAGGAACAUUGCUAAACCUAGACAUAGUCCAAAACUGUGUUCUGAAUGAUACAGAUUCAUCAGGGGUAGAUUGUUUCUCUCUCUUGGAAAAAAGAAUGGCACAAUAAUACUUUGAAGAGUUAUAGUCAAGAGGCAGUCUUACACUACAUCAUAGACUUAUUUAGCAAAGAAAGCAUGGCUCUCAUAGUUCAUGGUUCCAGUAUUGUGUGGGUGUGUGUGCAGUCCUCUCUCUUCAUAGCAUAAUGUCAAUAGAAAUCCAGUACAAUCACUUAAUGUACUCUGCUGCCCCACUCUACAUAUGGGCUUUAAAUGCUUUAAUCGAAGACCUGCUCAUUUUUAUUGGUGUUCUUUAUAGGUAAGGUUAGUGAUGAUUUUCAAAUGCACUCUGUGAUUUGUGGCUAAUUAGGGCGAGAGUUAGUCUGACCACAAAAAUGUAUGUAAGCUUGAGGGCAAGGAGUUUGCAAGUGGUGAAAAAAAAGGCCACAAUAUGCAGCAGCAGGACCAGUCCUCCUCUGUAGACAGAG